rnacentral:ncRNA from 2 species
CUGACACGCGCGGGAGAGUUCGUUUCGAUUCGUCGAAACGGCGCCGAAGGAGCAACCGCCCCGGAAUCUCUCAGGCAAAAGGACCGCGCGGCGUCU